CUGGCUUGAGAAUCACUGAUGUACACCUUUCAGGUGUGUAUUAGUCAUUUAUCACUGUGAAGAAAAAUUUCCCGAAACUUAGCAGCUUAAAACAGCAAACACUUCCUAUCUCAGUUUCUGUGGAUAGAGAUCUGGGUGUGGCUUCACUGGAUGCCUGUGUAAAUGUCAGCAGGGGCUGCAGGGAGGGUACACUCCAAGCCUGCUCUCUGCUAUUGGCAGUUGGUGGUAGAGGUCAGCUCCUUACCACCUGUUCCUCUCCACAGAGCAGCUCAAGGCUCGGCAGCUGCUUCCUCCAUAACAAGGCAGCAAGGGAGUGAGAAAGGGAGCUGAUGACAGAUGCCACAGUCUUUUGGUGGCCUAAUCUUGGUAGUUUCAGCCCUGCACUUUGGUUGUGUUUGAUUCACUCGGAGCAAGUCCCAAGUCCAGCCCCUGUUCAAGGGAGGGAGAAAUACACAAGGGUGUGAGCAUCAGGGGGCAGGGGUCUCCAGGAGCCAUCUUCACAGGUAUAAACAGAGAAGGGGAGGUGAGACCAGGAAUGUAAGAAGAUGGCUGGCUGUACAUCGAAUUUCUUUUCCAAAACAGAGCAGUAAAAGAGAACUCCUGCAUCUACUACAUUAUGCUCGGCAAUAAGAGGCUGCUAAACUUUCAGAUCCAGCUGGUGGAUUGAUGCUCCGAGAGCAGGCACGGCACACAAGAAGCAGCUCCAGGGGCUGCUGGAGCGCCUCACCCCCAUCAUUCGUGAAACAGUUCUAGUUAUCGGUUCUGCCUGUGCUAGCUUUAUCCAUGAGCGCCCAAAGAUCUUAUAUAAUGGCAUUAAGUAAAUAUAUACGUUCUGACUAUAUGCAACAAGAUGCUAAGCACAGUAAAGUUGUUAUAUGAAGACAAAACUAAUUUGUAGGUAUGGGUAUCAUUAGCUUCUGCUCUUCUGUGUAGUCAAAUAGAAUAGCAGGGAGUUUUGAAGAACUAUUGACCAACUGUUACUGGAUAUGACCAACCUGGUUGGUUGAAUGCUCUAGUUAUUUGGAAAUUAUCUAAAGAGGCAGUGUUGAAGUGUAGAAGAGGCCAAAGAGACAAAAGCCUAUGUGUCCAACUAAGCUCUUCCUUGCAAAGCCCUCUAGUGCUGGAUCUUUCUAUUUCCAAUGCACCCUAUUUCCUUCAUCUGUAAGUAAUUACCUGUUCUAUACUUCAGACACGUUCUGAGGACCUGUGUUGUCACAGUAUUUUGUUACUCCUUAUGCUGAUUAACUUUUUAAAGAGGGUUUAUCUUGCUAAAUUAUAAAAAUAAAUACCCAUUAUAAAAUACAGAAAGGACAGAAAAGUAUAAAGUAGAUAACAAAGCUUACUUUGAAUCUUAACGAUCUAAAAUACUGGGUAUUAAAUAAAUAAUAGGCAAAUUCUUGCAAUAUUUCUUCCCAGAACUUUUUUUGCCCGGUAUGUAUAAAUGUUUCAUUUUAGAAAAUCAACAUCCAUGUUUAAUCCUGCCUUUUUCACAUAUUGAGCAUUUCCCUAUAUCUAUGAAUAUUUCUCAAAAGCCCGAUUUUUUUAAUUACAAAAAGAAAUUUGAAAUUAGUUGAGGUACCAAAAUUGUAAAGAAAUUUCAGGAGUAUUUGAGCAUAUGAAUUGCCCUCCACCUCUGGAGAGGAGUCCAAAAGAUGGAGUUACUGGGUCAAAAGACAAA